rnacentral:rRNA from 1 species
UACGGGGGGGGCAAGCGUUGUUCGGAAUUACUGGGCGUAAAGGGCUCGUAGGUGGCCAACUAAGUCAGACGUGAAAUCCCCCGGCUUAACCGGGGAACUGCGUCUGAUACUGGAUGGCUUGAGUUUGGGAGAGGGACGCGGAAUUCCAGGUGUAGCGGUGAAAUGCGUAGAUAUCUGGAGGAACACCGGUGGCGAAGGCGGCGUCCUGGACCAACACUGGACACUGAUGAGCGAAAGCCAGGGGAGCAAAGCGGG